GCGACCCCAGGGCAGGAGAACCUCCCUUAUGGG
rnacentral:rRNA from 1 species